AUCACCAUAAAAAGGGACCUGAGUAUGUCGACUUCCUGGAUGGCGUGGUGAGUCAACAUAGUCCUUUUCACCGCCACUGCUUGGCCGUGUCGUUGGCCUCUAUAGACACGCCCAAAGCUGCCUUCUCCCAAGAUCUCCCCCAGGUGUAAAUGUUCCAUCUGAAACAUGUUAACUAGACACCUUUUGUCUUACGGAACACUGGUUCUGGUUGGCCGAGCAACUACAGUUAUUCAGAUCAACAGGUCAUAGACAACAGGUGAAACGACUUUAACAACGGCGAACGGACCGGAAAACUUCGGAGCCAACCUGGCGGCGAAACUGUCAACGGCAGAGGAUAAAGGACGGUCCCGGCGUAGAACUUUAUCUCCCACAUGGUAUCGGAUUUCUC